AUGACCACAAUCGCUAGCCACGACUGCUCUGCAUCUGGCAGCGCAAACGUUGCCCAGCUGGGCGUAGGACAGUGCGGACCAGCUUCUGGCAGCACUACCAUCUCCACGUGCACCAUUUCAACUGUUGUCCCAGACUCGAAAUUCGAGCGCAGGCGGCUAGACAAGAGGGCAGCAACCAAGAGGAAACGGCGUGGAGGCUUGGCAGUUCAGGCGAAGAAGCCAAAAAGAAACGAAAAAGAUGCCAAACCGCCAGCUAAGCCUCGCGCCACUGCAGAGGAGGUGGAGGAAGAAGAGAGAAACCAGAUCCCAGGCCCCGUUUGCAAGGGCAAGUGGAAAAAUAAGGAACGAAUUCUCAUCUUUUCUUCCAGAGGAAUAAAUUUCAGAACAAGACAUUUAAUGCAGGACUUGAGAAGGUUGAUGCCUCAUUCUAAAGCAGAUACUAAAAUGGAUCGUAAGGAUAAGCUAUUUGUGAUUAACGAGGUUUGUGAAAUGAAAAACUGUAAUAAAUGCAUCUAUUUUGAAGCUAAGAAAAAACAGGAUCUCUAUAUGUGGCUUUCAAAUUCACCUCAUGGACCAUCUGCUAAAUUCCUAGUUCAAAAUAUUCAUACCCUUGCUGAACUAAAGAUGACUGGAAACUGUUUGAAAGGCUCUCGGCCCCUUUUGUCUUUUGACCCGGCUUUCGAUGAAUUACCACAUUAUGCUUUGUUAAAAGAACUCACAAUUCAGAUCUUUAGUACACCACGGUAUCAUCCCAAAAGCCAACCAUUCGUGGACCAUGUGUUUACUUUCACCAUUUUGGAUAAUAGGAUAUGGUUUCGGAACUUUCAGAUUAUAGAAGAAGAUGCUGCUCUUGUAGAAACAGGACCUCGUUUUGUCUUAAAUCUCAUAAAGAUUUUCCAAGGAAGUUUUGGAGGACCAACUUUAUAUGAAAACCCUCACUACCAGUCACCAAACAUGCAUCGGCGUGUCAUAAGAUCCAUCACAGCUGCAAAAUACAAAGAGAAACAGCAAGUGAAAGAUGUGCAGAAACUGAGAAAGAAAGAACUGAAGACUCUUCUUCCACACGAUCCCACUGCAGAUGUUUUUGUUACGCCAGCUGAGGAGAAACCAAUAGAAAUACAGUGGGUAAAGCCAGAGCCAAAAGUUGAUUUGAAAGCACGAAAGAAACGGAUUUACAAAAGGCAAAGAAAAAUGAAACAGAGGAUGGACAGAGGGAAAACAAAAUAAGUCAACGAAAACUUGAUUUGUUUUCAGUUAUUUUAUAUUUAUUUUGUAUUCAGUGUGUAAAUACUUUUAUUAUCCAGUAUUACUUAUGUCUAAUUAGUGUGGCAUUU